rnacentral:tRNA from 1 species
GGCGGCGGUAGCCGAGUGGUUAGCAUUGCGCACUGAUAUUCGAAAUGCUCGGGUUCAAGUCCCGGUGCCACCA